UCCCCGUUAUCCGGGGCGGUUUCACUAGAGUGCCCAGCUUGACCUGAUGGCAACUAGGGAUAAGGGUUGCGCUCGUUGCGGGACUUAACCCAACACCUCACGGCACGAGCUGACGACAGCCAUGCAGCACCCGUACUAGCUCCCCGAAGGGUCCUUCAUCUUUCGAAUCCGUACCACUAGCAUGUCAAGCCUUGGUAAGGUUCUUCACGUUGCCUCGAAUUAAACCACACGCUCCGCUGCUUGUGCGGGCCCCCGCCUAUUCCUUUGAGUUUUAACCUUGCGGCCGUAGUCCCCAGGCGGUGAACUUAAUGCGUUAGCUGCGGCACUGAUCGGGUCAAUCCGACCAACACCUAGUUCACAACGUUUAGGGCGUGGACUAC
rnacentral:misc_RNA from 1 species